UUGUUAAAACUGUUAUUCUGGGGCUGGAGACAUGGCUCAGUGGUUAAGAGCACUGACUGCUCUUCCAGAGGUCCUGAGUUCAAUUCCCAGCAACCACAUGGUGGCUCCCAACCAUCUGUAAUGGGAUCUGAUGCCCUCUUCUGGUGUCUGAAGACAGCUACAGUGUAUUUAUGUAUAAUAAAUAAAUAAAUCUUUAAAAAAAAAAAAACUGUUAUUCUACAUUUUAGAAAAUUCACAAAAGUUUUAAAAACUCAUUGACUUCAUAAGUAAUUACAUGAAUUAAUAAGUUAAUUACAUACUUGAGUAGACAAAAUGGAACGAUAAUUUAUAAAGACCAAGACAAUUAGAAGUAAAAAUGCAAUAUUAAAGCAAGUUAUAAUACAAAUGACAGGUAAUAAGAUUUUAGAUGAUUAUGGAUACAUAGUGACAGUUUGGGUUCAGGCUGUUUUAAUGCCCCAAAGAGGUAAGGUGGGGGCAUGGCCAGGAUUUUAAGAGCACAAAGGCACUUUGACUUCUACGGAUGUUUCAGUAACUUGGGACUAUAGUUGGAAGUGUUAUGUUGUCUUGGAGCACAUGUGGUUGUACACACCUUUAAUCCUUGCACUUAGGAGGCAGUAUAAGCAGAUCUCUUGAUUUCUAGGCCAUCUUGGUUUAUGUUAACUAGUUUCAAGUCAGCCAAGCAGAGAAGUGAGAGGGACUGGAGAGGUGACUUAGUGGUUAGGUGUACUGACUGUUCUCCUGCCGGGACCCCACUUCAAAUCCACAUCCUCAUGGUAGCUCACAAUUGCCUGACAUUCCAAGAUCUGACACACUCCCAUAGACAUGCAAGCAAA
rnacentral:lncRNA from 1 species